ensembl:lncRNA
CUGAAAAUCCAGCGACCGUAAUUUGGAGCGAUUUAACAGACGAGGAGAGGGAAGGCUCCUGAGUCUGGUACGUGAGAGGAAGUCUGACCUUCUCUCCUGCAGAACGCCGCCACAGCGCAGACAACAAGCAACAAGCUUCUCCUGCUCCCGUGUGACCGCCGUCAUGAGACCAGAAAACCGUCUGACUGCCACAGGAAACACGCCACACUGGAUCACGCGCGCACACGCCAGUCUACACUGCACACUGCCGUGCGCUUGUAGAAGCGAUGACGAGGACGCGUGAGUGUGUUUGUGCCCGUGUGCUGGAGACGGUGAUGAAGGAAAGUGAGAGUAAACACCGGCGGCGUGAUCCCUCCUCCCGCUAACCUCCAUCGGCGCCGCUCCUCUCCUGCACGCCGUCUCUUCAUCAACACUCACUCGAGCAGCACAACGACCCUCUGAACACGGCGAGUCCGAACAUGAGAGACGAGUCCACCUGCGACCUACAGCAUCACGACCAACGCCAUGUCGGGUGAUGAGCGAGGUUCUCGCUGCCAUCGGCUACCCAGCGCGCACCCGCCGGCUGCUGACCUCUCCUCCGCGUACCUGAGCUUUCCACUUCAGGUGCAAAAGUCAAAACUUCCUCACUGUCAAUUUUGACAGAAGUAAAAGAGAGGAAGAAACUCUUGAAGAUUACCGAAGUGAAAUUGAUAGUUUUCGAUUGCGAGUUAUUACAUGCAAAGCGUACCCUCGCUGUGAACGCACCAUCCUGACUUGACGAGCUCCUGCAGAACCUGCGGGGACACUGGGCUCGAAGGCGUCCUCGUCCACAAAGACCUGCGUGUCGUUGCUCAUAGUUCUCAACGUAAAGCCCGAGUCGUUAGUUCAAGGUGAUCCUGCAGCACGGUGCUGGUCGACCUACACUGUGUUUCAGGGGGGAUUUAGAGUCAAGGAGAAGUUAAGUCUAUUCAGGAGUAGCGCUGGAUUUACAGACACAUCGCUGUGGGAGUAACGGGGUG